AGUAUAACAUGGGAAGAAGUUAUUGCUGAUGUGUGUGGACCUACUAGCACAUGGAGAACCGAAACUCAGAAGUAUAUCAGUCUCUACCCCUGUAUACUCAAUGGUCAGCGGAUUGUCCUCAGUUUCUGAUUUGAAUGUCUUGCGUUUCUUGGUCUUCCUUGGCUGUGCAUAGCAUCUCUCUCAACACAUUAGCAAAGGCGGCGAAAAUAUAGCAAUAUACAGGCAUUCUCAGACAUUCUCAGUCGCAAUCGAUGAAAAUGCGAAUACAGUCGUAUCAAGAUCCUAUUCAACAAAUCUCCGAAGAGAAGGAGAACUUGCGGAAGAAUCGGGAACGCUGAUUGCCACCAAUCAGAGAGUUCCAAAGGAAUUGUCCUGCUAAUAAAGCCUUCACUAGAAUUAGAUACCCUUGCAAUUUCUGCUAUCGGUUGAGAGAUUCGCCAAAGGACAAAUUCAUGACGCAAUUGACGCGUUUGCAGAUGUAUUCACAAGUAAUGCAGGAUAUGCCACCAAGCUCAAGAAGCAUAUUUGCUGUUACAUCGGCAUCAUCGACAAUGUCAUGCAAUCGCGCUGUUUCUAAGCGACAGUACUGAAGAUGACAGUAGUUUAAGAGAUACAGAAGUCGAAGAAAGAAAAGUAGAGAGAAGAAGCGAGAAAAGGUGACGAAAAGAGAAAGAAGAUGAAAAGUACUCGAUAAAACACAGCAAAGAAGCUAGCGAAAGAAAAGAAGAAAAGAAGAGAGCAAAGAAAGAAAUGAAAGAAGGGCGGAAGGAAGCCAAGAAAAUUCCUCUUUUGAGAGAUCAUCAGUCAGACCUUAAACUAAAAGUAAGGUCUGACUGAUAGAAUAAAAAUCUCGAAACUUCGAAUAUCAUAAUACAGGUAUCCUAAAAAAUUCUCAUAGACUGACAUUUUUCGAUAUCUUAUAUCUUGUAUAUACUUGAAAAGAACGGUUCUGAUUGUAAGUUUGUCACAAGUAUCAAAUUUCUUCAAUAAAAAUAAUAGAUGAGACAUAAGAAUCAGUUAUAGAAAUUGUAAAAAAGGGAUAAAUGAUUGAGAUAUAUAAUAUACCGAUUGUAAUUAAAUUUAAAUAAUAUAAUUCUUAAUAUUACAUUACAGCUGAACCGUGUAGAAUUAUUUGACAUUAAGAGAUGGUUUCGAUUAAUUAAAUUAAAUUAUAUUGAAUUUAAUUUAAUUGUUGAGAACUCUAUAGGGUACUAUGAUGCUCAAUGGCUCGAAAUGUUUUAUUUAAUUUAUUUAAAAUAUGUUCUGAGUAUAUAUAUGUUCCUAGUAGGGACAGUUCCUAGUAGGGUAGUUUUGUACUUGAAUCAAGAUUAUUAAAGUAAAACAUAUUCGAUUUAUUAUAAAAGGUCAUUUCUUCGAUAAAAUUUUUUAAUUUGAAGAAAUACAUAAACUUCUUUGCAACAUAGAAUACUUGUUUUUACAUAUAUGAAUAUGAAGAAUAAGGAGACCAAGAAUGGAAGAAUAGAAAACAUAUGUUAAAAAUCGACUUUAUUAUAAGUUAUAAUACACACCUGAAACAUCAAAUGGCGUGUAUCCCAAUCUAACCCUAACCUAACCUAACAUAUUGAACACACACGCGCACACAUACAUAUGCGCAUGUAUAACAUUGCAAUUCCAAAUGGAAUCCAAUAAACGAUUGAUUGAUUGGAACUGCGAGUAGAAACGCAUUA